rnacentral:tRNA from 1 species
GCCGGCGACUGGCCCGGCUCCUGGAGGAGGCCGCCGAGGCCGGCCGGCCCCUGGUCACCGCGGACCGGCCCCGGGUCCUUCCCCCCGCCACCGGCG